ACGCCGUAAACGAUGAGUGCUAAGUGUUAGAGGGUUUCCGCCCUUUAGUGCUGCAGCUAACGCAUUAAGCACUCCGCCUGGGGAGUACGGCCGCAAGGCUGAAACUCAAAGGAAUUGACGGGGGCCCGCACAAGCGGUGGAGCAUGUGGUUUAAUUCGAAGCAACGCGAAGAACCUUACCAGGUCUUGACAUCCUCUGACAACCCUAGAGAUAGGGCGUUCCCCUUCGGGGGACAGAGUGACAGGUGGUGCAUGGUUGUCGUCAGCUCGUGUCGUGAGAUGUUGGGUUAAGUCCCGCAACGAGCGCAACCCUUGACCUUAGUUGCCAGCAUUCAGUUGGGCACUCUAAGGUGACUGCCGGUGACAAACCGGAGGAAGGUGGGGAUGACGUCAAAUCAUCAUGCCCCUUAUGACCUGGGCUACACACGUGCUACAAUGGAUAGAACAAAGGGUAGCGAAGCCGCGAGGUGAAGCCAAUCUCAUAAAUCUAUUCUCAGUUCGGAUUGCAGGCUGCAACUCGCCUGCAUGAAGCUGGAAUCGCUAGUAAUCGCGGAUCAGCAUGCCGCGGAUUGC
rnacentral:rRNA from 1 species